rnacentral:rRNA from 1 species
GACAGAGGGAUGCAAGUGUUAUCCGGAAUCGACUGGGCGUAAAGGCGUCUGAUACGGUCGUUCGAAUAAGUUCAACUGUUAAAUCUUGGAAGGCUCAACUUCAAAUCGCAGUCGAAACUAUUUAAACUAGAGUAUAGUAGGGGUAAAGGGAAUUUCCAGUGGAGCGGUAGAAUGACGUAGAGAUUAGGAAAGAACACCAAUGGCGAAAGCACUCUGCUGGGCCGACACUGACACUGAGAGACGAAAGCUAGGGGAGCGAAAUGGGAUUGAGAUACCCC